rnacentral:SRP_RNA from 1 species
GCCAGGUGUGGUGGCUCACACCUGUAAUCCCAGUACUUUGGGAGGCCGAGGCGGGCGGAUCACCUGAGGUCAGGAGUUUGAGACCAGCCUGACCAAUAUGGUGAAACCCCGUCUCUA